rfam:Homo sapiens chromosome 15, GRCh38 reference primary assembly.
AGGAAGCAGACAGAGGGGCCAGCCCUGGGCCCCGAUUCAAAAUGGGGCA